UGGUGAUCGACGGCUAGAGAGAGAGAGAGGGUGUGUGAGAGCUAGAGAGAGAAGGAGAAGGAGAAAGGAAGAAGAAGAAGGAGGAGAAAAGAUGAGGGGUUCGAAUUCUAUAGGUGCCAAGGGAGAUCAACAUUGUGAGUUGAUUGCUAUCAAAUGAGGUAAGGGCAAGGGGAAAAUCUACCAACCAUGAGUACGGAGAGCGUGAAGCGACGCGUACAUGUCUGGUCUGCCUUGCUGCCACGACCAAGGGUAUUUUUGGGAGAUGGUUUGUUCUAAAUCUUAUUUUGUCGUGUAGUCAACUUUAAUCAUAUUUUGAGUUGUAAAUAUUUAUAAACAGUAUUUCGGGAUCCUGAAUGUUAAACGUUUUAUAAUUUUCAAUGAAUGACUACAUUUUCAAAUUAUGUGAUUUUAAUACAGUUUAGUUACACUUUUGACCUAAAUUCUUUAUUAGCAAGUUAAAUGCACAUUUUAAACUCACUUAGUAACGACUCUAAGGUAGUAGGGCGUUACAUGCCUCCUGCUUGUUUUACAUUGUCUAAAGAAGAGAAGCAAGCCAUAUGUAAAUCAUUGGCAGAGAUGAACGUGCCUGAUGGUUAUUCAUCGAAUGUUCGAAACUUGGUGUCUAUGCAAGAUUUGAAGUUAAUUGGAAUGAAAUCACAUGAUUGUCAUAUAUAAAUGCAACAAUUACUUGUAAUUGCCAUUUGGUCAGUUUUACCAAAAUGAGUUCGAGAUAGUGUGACAAGUGUGUGCAUGUUCUUUAAUCAACUAUCCAGAAAAGAAUUGGAAAUGAAGAAGUUGAGUGCAUUGCAUGAUGAAGUAGUUGAAACUUUAUGCAAGCUUAUAAAAUAUUUUCCACCAUCUUUUUUUAAAUCAUGAUACAUUUGAUGGUCCAUUUAGUAAGAGAAGCUAAGUUGUGUGGGCCAGUUUGGGCGAGAUGGAUGUAUCCAUUUGAAAGGAAUAGGAAUGUGUUGAAGGGAUAUGUACGCAAUCACCAUCGCCAUGAAGCUUGUAUGGUUGAGUGUUAUUUAGGAGAAGAAGCUGUGGAAUUUUAUUCAGAGUACAUGGUUGGAUUCGACACAAUCGGAAUUAUCAAACCACGAAAUAACUCAGAUGGAGUUGAUAGAGGAUUAUGAGGGAAAGGAAUAGUAGUGAUCAUAUCUCGUGUAGAAUUAGAUCAAGCUCAUUUAGUUGUGUUGGAAAACAAUCCUGAGGUUCAACCAUAUACAACGUAAGUUAUAAAUUUAAUAAACAUUAUGCUCAUUUUUAUGUAAAAUUGAAAUUUUAAUGUUGUACUUUGUAUUUGUAGUGAGCACAUAGAGUUAUUACAAUCAAUGAUUCCAAACAAGGUUAAAAAUAAAUAGAAAUGGAUCAUAGAUGAGGAUCAUAAAACAUUUAGUCGAUGGUUGAAAAAUAUUAUUCUAGCAAGGUUGGGAGAAGAAAACCAUGGAGUGUCAACAGAGUUAAAACGCAUAUCAUUUGAAGCAAGUGUUCAUGUAAUAAAGCACCAUGCUUACAUUUUUGGAGGAAAAAAAUUUCACACAAAGUCAAGAGAUGAUGCUCGAAUGGUUCAAAAUAGUGGAGUAAGUAUUGUUGCAGAAGCAAUGCAUUUCGCUAGUGCAAAAGACAAUAAUCCAGUAGUUGGUACUAUGACAUUUUAUGGGGUUGUUGAAGAAAUAUGAGAGCUUGAUUAUUCCUUAUUUCAAAUUCCCCUUCUCAAGUGUUCUUGGGUGGACAAAAAUGUUGGGGUUAGAAUUGAUGAACUUGGAUUCACUUUGGUUGAUUUAAGUAAGAAAGGUCACAAAAAUGAUCCUUUCAUCAUGGCUACCCAAGCAAAACAAGUGUUUUACAUAACUGAUCCUGUUGAUGAUAAAUGGUCAGUUGUUUUACGAACCCCGGAGAGGCAGUUUAUAGAAGAUGAAAAUGAUGAAGAAAAUGAUGAUUUGUUCCAUGAUAAUUUUAUUGUUGGACAACCAAUACAUGAUCAAGUUGAGCAAACCCAUUAUUUCAAUGAAGAUGAUGAUGAUGGGGAAUACAUUAGAAAUGAUAUUAGAGACAGAAUAUGGGUAGAUUGUGAAUCAACCAAGAAAAGAAAAAGGAAAAGAAAAUGUGUCCAAUGACAAAUUCUGAAGAGGAGAACACACCUAAUAGGCGAGGCCCAACAAAGAAGAACAAUAUAAAUAAUAAAAAAGCUAAGGGAAUAAGGAGAGUAUUACAUUUAAUGAUAAGGGUCAACCUAUAGGGAAAGCGUAUGGCGAGAUGCAAUCGUACCUUGGAGUUAAAACUAGGAGAAUAGUCUCUCUCAAUUAUAAGGAUUGGAGACAAGUCCCACAAGAAUUGAAGAAUAGAAUAUGGGAGGAUGUAUAUGGUGGCUUUAACAUUCCAGAAAAUUGGAAAAAGAAUUAAUUAAAUGUGCGGGAAGAAUGAUGAGAGAUUUUAAGAUCAACGCCACUAGUGACUACAUCUACCCUUUGGCAAAAGCGGGUUUGAUAGAUGAACUCCAAUUCCUUCCUAAGAAAUAUCCAGAACUUGACCUUGAAGAUUGGAGGACCUUUGUUAGCCACUGUUUAUCUCCUGAGUUUAUGGGGGAAGCACAACGUGAAAGAGCUCUCAAAUAUACUUCGAGGCAUCGUACAUCUCGUAGAGGGCUUGCCAAUGUUAGAGAGGACUUGAAAAAUGAACUAGGUGUGGAAGAUGUAGAACGGUACCAAGUUUGGAUAAGAGCACGAGAAAAGAAGAAGGUUCUUGUCUCAAAUUUGGACAAACAAAUUGAAGCAAGAAUUAAUGAGUUGGAAGAAAAAGUUAGUAGUGGAGAAAUCAUUGCAAAGGGUCGAAAUGACAUAUUAACACAAUCUUUAGGGACACAUGAGCACCCAGGUCGUGUUAGAGCACUUGGGUCAUUUGCGAAGAUUUCGUCCGUCUUUGGAAGAAAACAAAAAAAUAGCAAAAGAAAUGGUUGAUGUUGUUAGUAAGAAAGAUGCAGAAAUUGCGAGGCUCAAAGCAGAAAUUAAAGCUUUAGAGGAGGAAAGAGCUAAACAAGCAGAUGAGAUAGAGGAUAUGGAUGAACACGACAACGAUGACAAGCAGAAUGACAAAGAAUAUCACACACCGUACAUGCAGGAUGACGUGCCUCCACAAUUUACAACUAAUGUGUUACUUUGUUAAGAUAAUAUUCAUAAUGUGGUGGCAGAGGGUGUUAUCAAUGAUAGUGUGGGUCCACUAACUAUUCAUGGUGUUCAACUGAUAGACGAAUACGCGAGGGUGCGAGUCACCAAAAUGUUACAAGAGGAUGCUGAAAUCCCAUGUUUUGUUGGGGAGAUACGCUAUGUUCGGGAUACCUAUGACAUUUUCAUUCCUUGGCCAAAAGAUUUAAUUAUGACUAAUUAGGGUCCUCUAAAAAAGAGACCUCCUAUGUCAAAAAGCCCAUCCAAGGACAAGUCGAACCGUAAUUCUACCACUAGCCCACAUUUGUCAUCAGCUAGAUCCCAUGUCAAUCCAGAAAACACUCUAAUAGAAGGCCAACCAUUUUCCGAUCACAUCAUGAAUCGCAUCCAUGUUAACCUUCAGUUUAUGGUGAGAGAAUUUUGCAGAGUUAAAGGAUUAAACAAAGUAGUCUCAAUUCUAGUGGACCCAUCAUUCAUGAAUCGCGAGUUAAUAUUUAUAACUUCAGAGGAUGUGGAACAAGUUGCUACUUUACAUAUGAUUGGAGGCUCAGCAAUGAUAUUCGGACUAAGGUUUGGGUAGUCCUAUUUAUAGGGGAAACUCGGCCAAAAAUUUUCAAAAAUAUAUAGCACUUAAGAAAAUUUUGCAGAUGCAUUUGAGAGUCCCUAUUUCCAAAUCAACGUAUCUUUUACAAGUUUUUUGACACUGAGCAUCUUAGCAUUAAUAAUGCUAACGAUGUAGAACGAUCAACCAUUGACUUGGAAAAUUGGUUGAUGACCAUGAAUAGAGUUGGUCAACUAUACUUUAUACCUUGGAACAUACGGGAACAUUGGAUGUUGGUGAUUGCUAUGCCAAAAGGGAAAAUCGUGUUCUUGGAUACACUGAAAGCACACAAACGUCCUGAAGAAAUUGAUUCAAUGAUACAAGUGCAUAUUAUAAGGCUUCUUCCAAUGAAUUACUUGGCAAUCCUACAAAGAUAUUCAAUGUUGCAUGUCCAAAACAACCACAAAGUCAUGAAUGUGGUUUUUAUGUGUUGAAGUACAUUAGAGAUCUUGUACGGGCAUCAAAUACAAUAGAAACCUUAAAAGAAAAUUUGAUGGGAAGAAGCAAUAUUAUGAGAUUGCAGACCUCUUGCCAAUUUAAGACGAAUGGUUAGGUCGAUUGAUGACAUACAUUUAUUACUAACAAGUACGUCAUAUACAGAAUGGGCGACAUAUGUGUUACCGAUAAUCCAAAGUUACCGACCUCAUUGUAAUAAAUAUGGUUUCUCUUGCACACGAUGUGAUGUGGGGAAUUCCGACGUCUGAGUGUGUAUGGCAUGAGGGUUUUCUAUGAAUGAAUAAAUGAUCAACAUAAGCGCCGAGUUUUAAAGAACUAUGUUAUGGACAUUAUUUUUAAAUUUACCAGUGGGACUCAAACUUUUUAUUUUCUUUAAACAUUGCAUAUGAACACUUUAUUUUUAGUUUAAAUUAUUAGGCCCAAACUUGCAUGUUUUAUCAAGCGUCGCUGAAUUUAUCUUUUUAAGUAGUAUUUUUUUAAUUAUUUAUAAGAUGAGAGACGUUUUUACAAAGUAAUAAAAUAGGGCGCUUUACACCGAA